GGGGUUGUGGCUCAGUGGUAGAUCACUUGCCUAGCAUGUGUGAGGCACUGAGUUCAAUCCUCAGUACCACA
rnacentral:tRNA from 1 species